GUUUGAUGGGCGUAGUAACAAUAACUAGUGGCUUUUGGGAACAGACAAUUGUUGUACAUCCAAUCAAACUAAGCACAAAUUUCUUUGUAAGUUUGUAGGACGCCAAAAGAAGCAGGUGCCAACAUUCAGGAUGAGCCCAUGGAAAAAACAAUCCGAUGCAAGGGAAUAUAUUGCCUUAUAACUGCAAUAAAUACAGGCUGACGCAAAUGAAGAUGUGUGCCCCUCUAUUAUAGAAAAGCCACAGAAAGAAAACCCAAGCCCUGAGAUGGCAUUACAUCGAUUCACUGUGGUGUUGACAUUGGAUUCUUGAUCUCCAACACGUCUCCCACCGAACAAUCCCAAUUUCUUUUGUUAGGACAGAGCAAGGUCAGACCGGAUCAAACCAGAAAGAUAUCCAUAAAUGUGCCAGACUCCAGUGAAAGAAAAACAUCUCCAACGAUCGCACUUUAAAACUGUCCAUACGUAAUUAAAAGAUGAAGUGAACAUUUAUCCAGAGAUUAUCCAGUGACAUUUUACAAAGUCUGAAGAGAAUCAAGAUAAUCACUAAUGGAGAGAUGUCUCUCUUUCACGCACUAGCCCACUCAAUUCUCAGAAGAAAUACAGUUGGGGAAGAAAAAAAAUCCCCUGAA